rnacentral:ncRNA from 1 species
CCAAGAAGAGUUCUCUUUUCUUCUUAACGGUCUGUCACCCUGAAAUCGGUUUGUCCGGAGCUAGGGUUCAAUGGCCGGAAGAGCGCUGCACUUUUGCGGCGUGGUG